UCAGUCUCUGCAGUGUGUUAAUGAAACGGUGACCAUCAAAGUGGCUCUGUUCACUGGGAAGCCUAGGUGGCCUACCUCACUUUAAAAGGGAGACCAUACCGUUCACCAUUUGGAGAGAACUUGUUUUUCUAAGCUGUGAACAGGAAAAACCAAUUUGAAGUUCUGGUGAUCCAUCAUGGGGAACCAUGUAGGAAAACGAGAACAUAGUGCUGACAAGUCAACCAAGAAUGCUGAAACCAAGGUGGAGGAAUCAGCUAAAGAGAGUCCAAAAGCAGCCAGACUAACGCAGCAGUCUUCAGAGGAUAACGAAGUAUUUGGUGAGUUAACUCAGCUGCAAAACAUUAUCUGAUCUGUAAGUUGAGAAAAGAGAAUUCCCACAAAAUCCUUGUGAUCUACUUAAUGUUUGUGUAUAGCAUUUGAGUGUGGGCUGUGCAGUUCCACAGAGACCUGAAAAAGUGGGGGAAAGGACUAAGUAGAAAAUACAGAGGGACCAAAGAUCUGAAACUAAUACUAUCUGUAGAAAGUUUUGCAGUUCAUUAUCACAGAGAAGAAAGGCUGAAUCCAAGUGUUCAACAAAAUUAAAGAUGUAUGAAGAAAGAGGGAAAAUAAACUUUUCUUUGUCCAUGAUGGAUAGAACAAGCAGUGAGUUCUUUAAAUUCACUUGUACAAAAAAAAAGAUUUGAAUAAAUGCUGGGAAGGGAAAUCCGAAAAGAAAUAUUAAAACAGUGGGAUCAUCUGGAAAGUGUGGAGAUUUAUUAUUGUAGGCCUUUAAAAACAGAUUAGACAAGUAACUGGCUAAACUGAUGUAAUGUAGUCCAGCUUGUGGCAGAAGAAUAGACUAGGUGACCUUUGAGGAUACUUCAAGGCCUAGAUUUUUAGAUGAGCUCCUCUUGGUGGUUUUCAGUGAAUCCCUCUCUGCUUUC